rnacentral:lncRNA from 1 species
GUCAUCUUCACCUGGAGAAGCAAAGCAGAGCUAUUUUCAGAUCAGUUGUGAAGAUAGGCUCAGCUUCAGCUAUUUCUACUGAUGGGAAAUGCUAUCUUGCAUAAAUAUUCCAUAAUUAUAUGCUAGUCAUUGUAUCCAGACUGUGCAGUAUGUCUGUUCCUCUCACAUUUGCAGAAGAGCAGCUCAGCAGCUACAAAACUGACAAAUUCAAAAUGUAGUUUUUAGUAACCUAAUGAUGGAGGUAAACUUUUCACCUUCAGCUUUUUCUCCUUUGGAGGUUAGUCAUUUCAAGCACAGAAGUUGCAAGAUUUCUUGGGAAGACUGAAGAUGCAGGGAAGUGCAUCAGCAAGUGUCACUGGCUCAGUCCCAGCUGACAGUGACAGGGAAAGAUGUGAUGUGUAUGGGGUGAAUUAUAGAAUGUCCCUAAUCACGAUGUGCCCUAGUAACCAGUGGAUGUGAUGGUAAGGAACAGGUGAUGAGUUGUAAACUUCUGUCUCCUACUAAUUGUAGAGAUGAGACUGAUAGACACAGGAGACUAGAACACUCUGCAAAAAGAAGCCAUGAGCAUUUGACACUUGUGAUUAUUGCCAUGCUGAAAGUUGCCCAUUCUGGUUCUUUUCUUACAUCUUUGGUUACUUCUAAGUAAAAUUGUAUCACCCGGAUCAGUAAUACUUAUUGAUUUUCCUGAGGAAUGUUCAGUAGUGAAGCUUCUCCCUGCCACGUGCAAAGCGCUGUUACAUGGUCUCCUUGUUCUGUGGUCAGAUGGGAGUGGAGGUAGAAAGAGCUAUGAUUUUAAAUGACAGAAGACUGAAGAUGGAGACUCCCACUUUGUUACUUGCUCUCUCACCCGACAGGAAGGAAACUAUUACUUUUCUUAAGCUGCUGCGGCAUCUGGAAAAAUGAUAAUCAAUUGCAACCAGCUGUUUUCUCUCUCUUGACUACGACUCAAUCUGAUGCUGUCAUCAUUCCCAUUAGUAGCCAGUCCACAUGACACAAAGGAAAGGAUGGCAACGAAUCUCCCAACAUGACCUAAAAGCAAAGAUAGUACAAUAAAUCAAAACUUGCACUAAAACUACAAAGG